ACUCAAAUGAAUUGACGGGGGCCCGCACAAGCGGAGGAACAUGUGGUUUAAUUCGAUGAUACGCGAGGAACCUUACCCGGGAUUGAAAUGGGGGGGAAUGGCGGUGAAAGCCGUCAGUCAGCAAUGACCCCUCUGUAGGUGCUGCAUGGUUGUCGUCAGCUCGUGCCGUGAGGUGUCGGCUUAAGUGCCAUAACGAGCGCAACCCUGACUGUCAGUUGCUAGCGGGUAAUGCCGAGGACUCUGACGGGACUGCCGGCGUAAGCUGCGAGGAAGGUUGGGAUGACGUCAAAUCAGCACGGCCCUUACAUCCGGGGCGACACACGUGUUACAAUGGUGGGGACAAAGGGCAGCUACCGGGCGACCGGAUGCCAAUCUCUAAACCCCAUCUCAGUUCGGAUCGGAGUCUGCAACCCGACUCCGUGAAGCCGGAUUCGCUAGUAAUCGCGCAUCAGCCAUGGCGCGGUGAAUACGUUCCCGGGCCUUGCACACACCGCCCGU
rnacentral:rRNA from 1 species